UCGGGGUGUGGCUUAGUCUGGUAAAGCGCUCGUCUGGGGGGCGAGAGAUCGCAAGUUCAAAUCUUGUCACUCCGAU
rnacentral:tRNA from 2 species